rnacentral:rRNA from 1 species
AACGAACGCUGGCGGCAUGCCUAACACAUGCAAGUCGAACGAGACCUUCGGGUCUAGUGGCGCACGGGUGCGUAACGCGUGGGAACCUGCCCUUAGGUUCGGAAUAACUCCCCGAAAGGGGUGCUAAUACCGGAUAAUGUCUUCGGACCAAAGAUUUAUCGCCUUUGGAUGGGCCCGCGUUGGAUUAGCUAGUUGGUAGGGUAAAAGCCUACCAAGGCGACGAUCCAUAGCUGGUCUGAGAGGAUGAUCAGCCACACUGGGACUGAGACACGGCCCAGACUCCUACGGGAGGCAGCAGUGGGGAAUAUUGGACAAUGGGCGGAAGCCUGAUCCAGCAAUGCCGCGUGAGUGAUGAAGGCCUUAGGGUUGUAAAGCUCUUUUACCCGGGAUGAUAAUGACGGUACCGGGAGAAUAAGCUCCGGCUAACUCCGUG